rnacentral:rRNA from 1 species
UACGUAGGUGGCAAGCGUUGUCCGGAUUUACUGGGCGUAAAGGGCGUGCAGGCGGUUUGUUAAGUGCAGAGUGAAAGCUCCCGGCUCAGCUGGGAGAGGUCUUUGCAUACUGGCAAACUCGAGGGAGGCAGAGGAAAGUGGAAUUCCCGGUGUAGUGGUGAUAUGCGUAGAUAUCGGGAGGAACACCUGUGGCGAAGGCGGCUUUCUGGGCCUUACCUGACGCUGAGACGCGAAAGCGUGGGGAGCGAACCGG